GUCGGCGCUGGAUGACAGCGGGGUCAGGGCCGCCAAGGCGGGGGAGGCCGAUCCGAGCAGCACUAACACGUCCUCUUCCUCCUUCAACUCCAAGGUCUCGGAUUUGACGAACAUCCUACCGAAGAGAGAAAGGGGAAAAAGGCAGUGAGGUGUAAGGAAAGAAACAGAGGCGCGAUCUUCGUGUCACAGGGGCGUGCUCCGGCGCGCACCCGAGAAGACCAGCUCCGAAUGGCGCGGAGCAGGAAGGCGAAGGAAGAAACCCAGGCAGUGCUAACCAAGGUAAAUACUGGAACAUUCAUAAUCAGAAGUUGUUAUUUUUUAAAAUGCCAGCCUUCUGGAGAAUGCCUUUUCUUUUGUAGUCUCUGUCAAACAUUGGAAGGAAAUUUCAGUUCAGAGAUGUCUGAAGUGGGACUCAGUGGUCAGCAGAAACCUGAUGACAGCAGAGUGGUCCAGCUUGUUUCUCCUGGGGGCGUUCUUCCGAGGAUAUUUGGGCUGCCUCCAGAAUCGCAGUGUCUUGGGCCGCCGCAA
rnacentral:lncRNA from 1 species